rnacentral:lncRNA from 1 species
UAAAGGGCAUGAAUUGUAAGGAAAAAAAAAUAAAGACUGUAGAUGGGCGGGAAAAACAUAAAAUAAUUAUUUAUUUUGGAUAAAAUGUACAAAAAUAUGAUUUUUUAAUGAAAAAUAAUAAGAAAAAUGAAAUCUCUAUCCUCACCUCCUUAAAAAGAAUCCACCUAAAUCAAUGUACAUGACCCUUCACCAUUAAACCCUUUUUUGCUACUUUUACCUUUUUGCUUUCUUCAUCCUCUCCAGCUACAUUUCUCUCUCUCAGUCUCUCUCUCAAUUCUCUCCAGAUACACAUGAUGUCAUUGAAUCCAUCUCAAACUGAGACCCUAAAUCUCACUGAUUGGGAAAUCCAACCAUUUGCAGAAGAAGUUGAAGCAAGAGUUGCUGUAGAUCAGGAAUCAGCUGAAAAAAGAAGGGAAUGGUUUAGUAUUACUGAUAGAGUGCAAAAAAUUUGUGGCUAAGUUCCAGAUUAUGAAAAUUUGUGAAGGUUUUGAGGGGUUCUUUUGGAAAUUUAUUAAAAAGCUCCAUCUUGAAAUAGAAAAUAAUGAAGGAAUUUAGAGAGAAGGUGAAAGAAGAAGAAAAAGAAAAGGAAGCACGCCAAGCCGCACAGGCAGAAC